GGUGAGGUUCCCGAGUGGUUAAAGGGAGCAGACUGUAAAUCUGCCGGUGAAUGCCUUCGGAGGUUCGAAUCCUCCCCUCACCACCA
rnacentral:tRNA from 1 species